CCGUAACGAUGAUGUUCCAGGAGGAGGAGGCAGGGCAACUGGGCCUCGUUGUCACAACCGCAGGCCACUCCCCGGAAUCACAGCCAUCAGCAGCCCUUCUUAAAGGAGAUGCCGCAGCAGUGCUGCCUUCUGGAAUCGGACCUGUUAUCUGGGAUCUUCAGCCCUGUAUGUCCUUGCCACCUAUAAAAGGAAAUUCCAGCAACUUCUGGAUCAAAUGCAGAUGAAAACCACAACUCAUAGCCACGGUCCUCAAGCC
rnacentral:lncRNA from 1 species